ACGAGUGGCGGACGGGUGAGUAAUGUCUGGGAAACUGCCUGAUGGAGGGGGAUAACUACUGGAAACGGUAGCUAAUACCGCAUAACGUCGCAAGACCAAAGAGGGGGACCCUCGGGCCCCUUGCCAUCGGAUGUGCCCAGAUGGGAUUAGCUUGUUGGUGGGGUAACGGCUCACCAAGGCGACGAUCCCUAGCUGGUCUGAGAGGAUGACCAGCCACACUGGAACUGAGACACGGUCCAGACUCCUACGGGAGGCAGCAUG
rnacentral:rRNA from 1 species